UACGUAGGGUGCAAGCGUUAAUCGGAAUUACUGGGCGUAAAGCGUGCGCAGGCGGUCUUGCAAGACAGAUGUGAAAUCCCCGGGCUUAACCUGGGAACUGCAUUUGUGACUGCAAGGCUGGAGUGCGGCAGAGGGGGAUGGAAUUCCGCGUGUAGCAGUGAAAUGCGUAGAUAUGCGGAGGAACACCGAUGGCGAAGGCAAUCCCCUGGGCCUGCGCUGACGCUCAUGCACGAAAGCGUGGGGAGCAAACAGG
rnacentral:rRNA from 1 species